rnacentral:rRNA from 1 species
UGCCAUAUCAAUAAGCGGAGGAAAAGAAACCAACAGGGAUUGCCUCAGUAACGGCGAGUGAAGCGGCAAAAGCUCAAAUUUGAAAUCUAGCACCUUCGGUGUUCGAGUUGUAAUUUGAAGAUGGUAACCUUGGGUUUGGCUCUUGUCUAUGUUCCUUGGAACAGGACGUCAUAGAGGGUGAGAAUCCCGUCUGAUGAGAUGCCCAUUCCUAUGUAAGGUGCUAUCGAAGAGUCGAGUUGUUUGGGAAUGCAACUCUAAGUGGGUGGUAAAUUCCAUCUAAAGCUAAAUAUUGGCGAGAGACCGAUAGCGAACAAGUACAGUGAUGGAAAGAUGAAAAGAACUUUGAAAAGAGAGUGAAAAAGUACGUGAAAUAAAAGAAAGGGAAGGGCAUUAGAUCAGACUUGGUGUUUUACGAUUAUCUUCUCUUCUUGAGUUGUGCACUCGUAUUUCACUGGGCCAGCAUCGAUUCGGAUGGCAAGAUAAUGGCAGUUGAAUGUGGCUUCACUUCGGUGGAGUGUUAUGGCUCUGCUGAUUUGCCUGUCGGACGAGGGAUGCACUUUACAGGUUCCAACUAAUAGCAAUCGGUGAUAG